ensembl:lncRNA
UACCCUUUAUGUUUUUUUUCAUGACGACCAAUAAAAAAACAACAGUGUUACCCCUUAUGUGUUUUUCAUGACGACCAAUAAAAAAGGACAGUGUUACCCCUUAUGUUUUUUUUCAUGACGACCAAUAAAAAACUACAGUGUUACCCCUUAAUUUUUUUUCAUGACGACCAAUAAAAAACGACAGUGUUACCCCUUAUGUUUUUUUCAUGACGAUCAAAGAAAAACGACACUGUCACCCCUCAUGUUUCAUUUGGUAAAAACGACAGUGUUACCACCUAUGUUUUAUUCGAUACAUUUCGACAGUGUUAUCCCUUAUGGGUUUUUCAUGACGACAGAUAAAAAAACGACAGUGUUACCCUUUACGUUUCAUUUGAUAAAAACGACAGUGAUACCCCUUAUAUUAUUUUCCCAUGAUGACUGAUGAAAAACAACAGUGUUACCCCUUAUGUUUUUUUCAUGACGACCAAAAAAAACCAACAGUGUUCCCCUUCGUGUUUUUUUCAUGACGACCAAUAAAAAACAACAGUUGUUACCCCUUAUGUUUUUUUUCAUGAUGACCAAUAAAAAACUACAGUGUUACCCCUUAAGUUUUUUUUCAUGACGACCAAUAAAAAACGACAGUGUUACCCCUUAUGGGUUUUUCAUGACGACAGAAGAAAAACGACAGUGUUACCCUUUACGUUUCAUUUGAUAAAAACGACAGUGUUACCCCUUAUGUUUAUUUGACAUGGACAAUCUUUUUUUCAUGAUGACCAAUAAAAAACAACAGUGGUACCCCUGUCGACGCUUUUGCGGGGAUCCAAACCUGAGCUGUUUAGAGUGUUACCUCCGAACUUAUCAAUGCACCAUCAAGAAACCGAAUAAAGACAUCACAAUGGUUGUACUCAACUUUAGAAUUUGCAUGAAAUAGAAAUAAGAGUCUUCCAACAGAGGACAUCAACCGGACUUGAACCCCGGUCGCCA